UGGGGAAUCUUGCACAAUGGGGGAAACCCUGAUGCAGCGACGCCGCGUGAACGAUGAAGCCCUUCGGGGUGUAAAGUUCCUUCGACAGGAACGAUAAUGACGGUACCUGGAGAAGAAGCUGCGGCUAACUACGUGCCAGCAGCCGCGGUAAUACGUAGGCAGCGAGCGUUGUUCGGAGUUACUGGGCGUAAAGAGUGCGUAGGCGGCGAGCCAAGUUUGGUGUGAAAUCUCCCGGCUUAACCGGGAGGGUGCGCCGAAAACUGGUUGGCUGGAGUAUGGGAGAGGAAAGCGGAAUUCCUGGCGUAGCGGUGAAAUGCGUAGAUAUCAGGAGGAACACCUGCGGUGUAGACAGCUUUCUGGACCAAAACUGACGCUGAGGCACGAAAGCGUGGGUAGCAAACA
rnacentral:rRNA from 1 species